AUUAGCUAGUUGGUGAGGUAACGGCCCACCAAGGCGACGAUGCGUAGCCGACCUGAGAGGGUGAUCGGCCACAUUGGAACUGAGACACGGCCCAGACUCCUACGGGAGGCAGCAGUGGGGAAUAUUGGACAAUGGGGGGAACCCUGAUCCAGCCAUGCCGCGUGUGUGAAGAAGGCCUUAUGGUUGUAAAGCACUUUAAGCGAGGAGGAGGCUCUUUUGGUUAAUACCCAAGAUGAGUGGACGUUACUCGCAGAAUAAGCACCGGCUAACUCUGUGCCAGCAGCCGCGGUAAUACAGAGGGUGCAAGCGUUAAUCGGAUUUACUGGGCGUAAAGCGCGCGUAGGCGGCCAAUUAAGUCAAAUGUGAAAUCCCCGAGCUUAACUUGGGAAUUGCAUUCGAUACUGGUUGGCUAGAGUGUGGGAGAGGAUGGUAGAAUUCCAGGUGUAGCGGUGAAAUGCGUAGAGAUCUGGAGGAAUACCGAUGGCGAAGGCAGCCAUCUGGCCUAACACUGACGCUGAGGUGCGAAAGCAUGGGGAGCAAACAGGAUUAGAUACCCUGGUAGUCCAUGCCGUAAACGAUGUCUACUAGCCGUUGGGGCCUUUG
rnacentral:rRNA from 1 species